UAAAAGAGGAAGGGACUUGCCGAGACUGGUUUGGCUCAAUGGAUAGAGCGUCGGCUUGGGGACUGAAAGGUCCCAGGUUCGAUUCUGGUCGAGGGCAUGUACCUUGGUUGCAGGCACAUCCCCAGUAGGGGUGGUGCAAGAGGCAGCUG